rnacentral:rRNA from 1 species
UACGGAGGGUGCAAACGUUGCUCGGAAUCAUUGGGCGUAAAGCGCACGUAGGCGGUUCGUUAUGUCGGAUGUGAAAGCCCUCGGCUUAACCGAGGAAGUGCAUCCGAAACUGGCGAGCUUGAGUACGGAAGAGGGUCUCGGAAUUCCCGGUGUAGAGGUGAAAUUCGUAGAUAUCGGGAGGAACACCAGUGGCGAAGGCGGAGACCUGGGCCGAUACUGACGCUGAGGUGCGAAAGCGUGGGGAGCAAACAGG